AACUCAGAUACUCUCACAGUCUUCCACUUCCGCAUGAGUCCUUCAAAAGUUAGACCUAUAUUAAUUCCAGUCCUCAGUCCUCAGUCCUCAUCCCACUCUAUCAUAAAUUAAUCUCCGUUUCUCUUUACUCUCUAGUCUCUAGUCUCAACUCUUCACUCCACACUCCACAGUCACACUCUCCCCACUCCUCUCCAAACGGACCAAAUCCUAGCUGCCUCCGCUGCCGUCGCCUCACACCACACCUGACACCGCCACCGUGGGUUAAGUCUUCUCAGCCUCUCGGUCUCUCUACUCUCUAGUCUCAGGUCAGGUAUAUUUUCUUCCUUUUUCAUCUCUCUUUUUCUCCAUUUUGUGUUAUGGGUUUAUCAUCUUGUUCAAAUUAUUUAAAACUUAAAAAUCAUAGUUUUUAGAAAUUGCUUAGCCGAGUAUCGUAUGUAGUCACUCUCUCUAUACUUUUCUGUUUGAUUCAAUGAUUCAGGGACCAAAACUGACCAAGCAAUUGGAUUCAAAGAUGAAACCCUAGUUGUCUUUCUCUUCUUUUUUAUUCCUUGUUCUGUUUUUUUUUUUUAAUGAGCAAUAUACUUCUAUCUUCACUGUAAAUUUUGUUGUGCGGGUGUGUUUGGAGCCUAUGAUUUAUUUCAUUUUUUGUUACUACAGUUUCUCUAGAUAUUUUGCAUUCUUCCCAUUAUGCAUCUUAUAAAUUUGUCAUCUGUAGGGUUUUCUAAUGUUUGAUAGCGGAUAUUGUAAGUUUUUAUUUAUUAUAAUGGUAAUAGUUUGUUCUAUUUGUAAUCUGUAGCAUAGGGUAUUUGCAAUAUUGUUCUUGAUGAUUAAAAAUACAAAGGCUUGUUUCUCAAACAUUCGCAGUGGCCGCCUAUGAGCUUUUGCCUUUGCCAGGCUUUGAGAGCUAAUGCUGCUCUAUAUUUCCUUGGAUAUCUGAAAGUUUUUACUCUGACAUACAGAAUUAGCUGGCAGUCAGUGUUGUCUUUUUAGUGAAUUCCUAGUUAUUCUGGUUGUUUGCUUUUAUUAUUUUUAUUAUUUUUUGUUAGAAUGGAAUCCUCAUUGCCAUAUUUCUUAGUUGUUCCCACUAAACUUUUUUCUGACUGAAUUUUAUUCUCCAAAUUUCUAAAUGACAAUCUGUCUUGAAAUGUUUUGGUGGUACUGUCUUUGUUUUUUAAAAUUAAAUGGUUAGUUUUUUUUAUAUCCACUGAUGAUAAAUUAGAUGUGUUGUUUCUCAAAACAAUUGCAGCGGCUGCCUCAGUACUCUGCUUUCUUUGGUUGCAAGUGCUAUUGCUGCUUUAGUCUCUCCUUGAAUGCUUGAGUGGUCGCCUAAGAGCUUUCGCCUUUGCCGGGCUUGAGAGCUAGUGCUGUUCAACCCUUCCUUGGAUGUCUGAAACACAUUUCUCUUUUAUAAACUACAUUGAUGUUAUGAAACUUUUCAGACUAAUCUUACAAUUAUCAUACAUAUUGUUUUGUUUCAUUUAACUUCAAAAUUUCUUGUCUGUUAAGUGUUAUUAAAGGUGUUAUAUACUCAAGUUUCUGCCCUUGCUUGUAAUUUCUGUUGAUAUUGGUUACUUCCCUUUCUGUUAUUUUAUACCUUUUGUUCUUUGUCUU